UGCCGGGCUGCGGGUCCCGGCAGCGCCCAUUUCAGCGCGGCCUGUCUCGCCUGACCAGGGUGCCAGGGUGGCUCGUGGGACGGAGAGGGCCGUAGAGGCUCGGGAGCCCCCUCUGCCCAGCCAGCCCCAAGCGGCUCGGCGGUCGCCGCUCCAUUCGGACUGCCGCGGCCCUCGCCCUCCGGCCUUAAGGCACGGCCUUAGCUUCGUUAGAGGGGGAUCAAGGUCCGAGCCACGCCCGCCGCGGUGGGGGAUGGGCUCGGCGGCCUGGCUGCGGCCCCCUCCGGCGCGCCCGGACUUCGGCGGGCGGAGGGGUCCUGGGAGCUCGCGGAGCCGGACGGCCUCCAGGUGCCGGGGAAAGGUCAACAAGUAAAAUGAAGUACAUUCUAGUUACUGGUGGUGUCAUAUCAGGAAUUGGAAAAGGAAUCAUCGCCAGCAGUGUGGGCACAAUACUCAAGUCGUGUGGUUUACAUGUAACCUCCAUUAAAAUUGACCCGUAUAUUAACAUUGAUGCAGGAACAUUCUCUCCUUAUGAGCAUGGUGAGGUUUUUGUGCUGGAUGAUGGUGGGGAAGUAGACCUUGACCUGGGUAACUAUGAACGUUUCCUUGACAUCCGCCUCACCAAGGACAAUAAUCUGACUACUGGAAAGAUCUAUCAGUACGUCAUUAACAAGGAACGCAAAGGAGAUUACUUGGGGAAAACUGUCCAAGUCGUCCCGCACAUCACAGAUGCAAUCCAGGAGUGGGUAAUGAGACAGGCGUUAAUACCCGUGGAUGAAGAUGGCCUGGAGCCUCAAGUGUGUGUUAUUGAGCUUGGUGGGACAGUAGGAGAUAUAGAAAGCAUGCCCUUUAUUGAGGCCUUCCGUCAAUUCCAGUUCAAGGUCAAAAGAGAGAACUUCUGUAACAUUCAUGUCAGUCUAGUUCCUCAGCCAAGUUCAACAGGGGAACAGAAGACUAAACCCACCCAGAACAGUGUUCGGGAACUCAGAGGGCUUGGGCUUUCCCCAGAUCUGGUUGUGUGCAGGUGCUCAAAUCCUCUCGACACGUCAGUGAAAGAGAAAAUAUCAAUGUUCUGCCAUGUUGAACCUGAACAAGUGAUCUGUGUCCACGAUGUCUCGUCCAUCUACCGAGUCCCCUUGUUGUUAGAAGAGCAGGGGGUUGUAGAUUAUUUUCUCCGGAGACUUGACCUUCCUAUUGAGAGGCAGCCACGGAAAAUGCUGAUGAAGUGGAAAGAGAUGGCUGACAGAUAUGAUCGCCUGCUGGAGACCUGUUCUAUUGCCCUCGUGGGCAAAUACACCAAGUUCUCAGACUCGUACGCCUCCGUCAUUAAAGCUCUGGAGCAUUCUGCACUGGCCAUAAACCACAAAUUGGAAAUCAAGUACAUAGAUUCCACGGACUUGGAGCCGAGCACCUUGCAGGAGGAGCCCGUGCGCUACCACGAGGCCUGGCAGAAGCUGUGCAGCGCUCAUGGCGUGCUGGUUCCAGGAGGAUUUGGUGUCCGAGGGACUGAAGGAAAAAUCCAAGCGAUCUCCUGGGCUCGGAAACAGAAGAAGCCUUUUUUGGGCGUGUGCUUAGGAAUGCAGUUGGCAGUGGUUGAAUUUUCAAGAAAUGUGCUGGGAUGGCAAGAUGCCAAUUCUACGGAGUUUGACCCUAACACCAAUCAUCCUGUGGUCAUAGACAUGCCAGAACACAACCCUGGCCAGAUGGGCGGAACCAUGAGGCUGGGCAAGAGGAGAACCCUGUUCCAGACCACGAACUCUGUCAUGAGGAAACUCUACGGAGAUGCAGAUUACCUGGAAGAGAGGCACCGCCACAGAUUUGAGGUGAAUCCAGCCUUGAAAAAGAGUUUGGAGGAGCAAGGCUUGAAGUUUGUUGGCCAAGAUGUUGAAGGAGAGAGAAUGGAAAUUGUGGAGUUGGAAGAUCAUCCCUUUUUCGUUGGAGUUCAGUAUCACCCUGAGUUCCUGUCCAGACCUAUCAAGCCUUCCCCACCGUACUUUGGCCUCCUCCUGGCCUCCGUGGGGAGGCUCCCUCAUUACCUCCAGAAAGGCUGCAGGCUCUCACCCAGGUGGGGUUACGCUCCCUUAGUCCCUCGAGUGGUCACUGAUGCCUUCCAGCGGGCCAUCAUCACACCAUCAGUGAUGAGCAAAACCACAGGAACGGGGAGCCUUGCUGGGCGCUUCUCAUGCUGACACGCAAGCUUCCUCUCCUUCUCUGGGGUUUUCUCAGGCUGCUUCUGUGCCACCCCUGGCCUUCCCCAGCCACCCGGCAUGGUGGCCAGGUCUCCCCCUCUGCAGCAUCUGGUGCCACGAUCACAUCUGGGACCCUGUAGUCAAUGGGGAACCGUGUUUCUUCAUCGGGGUGUCGGCCACAGCCUGGGUGGAUUUCAUGCCCUACUGCUACCUUUAUCUGGAACCAGUCGGUUACCCUGUCUCGGUGGUUAGGGCAUCAUGACUGAAGUAUAAAGCGAAUGUGUAUCUUCUGUAACAAGAAGAAGAAAAUGCCUUUGCAGCUUUCUGCUAAAUAUAUAAUGUCUCUGAUUUCUGCUGUGUGCAGACAAGCAUCCCUGUGGUAGUGGUGGCUAUAGAAUGAGGGAAGUGAAGCAAGUGUUUGGUGGGAGCUGAUGGAUAAACCAUCUGAAUUCUACAGGGACACCUACAGUGACAGAAGUGGGAGCAGCUCCCCUGACUCUGAAAUCACUGAACUGAAGUUUCCAUCAAUAAAUCAUGACUGAUGGUAACGGAUGAUUCUUGAAGAGAGCCUUUGGACUUCAGGAGUUUACAGCUUUGAUUUUACAUUCAGCUUUUGACACUUCCUUUAAAUUAUGUUUUUAUUAAGAUUAUUUUAUUUUGAGGGAAGGUAUUUGUGACUUGCAUGUCCCGCCAUGUGUCCCGGCUCCCGCACGCUGUGCUGACUGGUGUCCCACACUCUCCUUUGCGGUCCUCCAGCCUCGGGCGAGAAGCAGGACAUCCAGGCGGAGCGGGUGAUGGCCGGGUGCCAGGGGAGCCCAUCGGUCACCGCGCUUCUCCAGCCACCUUGCGUCACUGUGGCUUCGAGCGUGUAGCUGUUCCUUCCCCCGAUGCCGAGGCCAUUAUAAAAGGUGGGCCGUGCGGCCUGUGUGGGCAGAGAGGGGUGAGUCCAGCUGGUGCUCACAGCCCAGUGCCGGAACCCGAGGGCACUGCUUGAGCAAGAGCCGUGAAACCAGAAACAGAGUCGGCCCUGCCCUGUGCUGGAGGACUCGUUGUCCAAAAGGACGGUCAGUUUGGCGUCACACAGAACGGCAAGAACUCUGUCUCUCUGACGUCUGAGUUUAGAAGCCGCGCUUCUCUUCUCGGGAAUCACUCCUUGCAUCAAGGGGUCACUUAACAAAGAAUCUUUUGGGGAAACUGCCUCUAAACCCCUCUCAUAUGGGGUUUUGCUCGAGGGAACUUUACAGCUUUGCUCAAGGGGACUUUUGCCUUCCAGAAUGGUGUUACUACGGUUGAAAUGCAAUGUAUGAAAAGCUAUUUUCUUAAUGUGGUAUAACGACAGGCAGAGCUCGUGCCCAUUAUAUCCUGGCUGGACUCGGUGUAUACUCUAACUUAAGAAAUAAAUAACGCAGAG